rfam:Dendroctonus ponderosae Seq01033116, whole genome shotgun sequence.
UCCUUCCUUGUUGAGGGGAGCAUAAUGUCCAAGGAUCGUUUAGUGAGGGCAUUUCUGCUGGCACCCCAAUAAAUUUACCCGCAUCCGUAUCUUCCGAGAUUACGAGUGCAAUUUUUGGAGGA